rnacentral:rRNA from 1 species
UACGGAGGGGACUAGCGUUGUUCGGAAUUACUGGGCGUAAAGCGCACGUAGGCGGAUUUGUAAGUCAGGGGUGAAAUCCCGGGGCUCAACCUCGGAACUGCCUUUGAUACUGCAAAUCUCGAGUCCGGAAGAGGUGAGUGGAAUUCCUAGUGUAGAGGUGAAAUUCGUAGAUAUUAGGAAGAACACCAGUGGCGAAGGCGGCUCACUGGCCCGGUACUGACGCUGAGGCACGAAAGCGUGGGGAGCAAACAGG